rnacentral:rRNA from 1 species
UACGUAGGGUGCGAGCGUUUAAUCGGAAUUACUGGGCGUAAAGCGUGCGCAGGCGGUGAUGUAAGACCGAUGUGAAAUCCCCGGGCUUAACCUGGGAACUGCAUUGGUGACUGCAUUGCUGGAGUAUGGCAGAGGGGGGUGGAAUUCCACGUGUAGCAGUGAAAUGCGUAGAGAUGUGGAGGAACACCGAUGGCGAAGGCAGCCCCCUGGGCCAAUACUGACGCUGAGGCACGAAAGCGUGGGGAGCAAACAGG